CAAUUUUCAACUGACGCUAACACGCACAAGUUGUGGGGGAAAAGUGCGAACAAGAGUACCAUAAGGUGACGUUGGACUGCUUCGUGAAGCCACAAAGCUUUGGAGAACCAUCGUAUCAGGCAUAUGCUAAGUACCCUGGCGAUGUCCUCACGGUAUUCCGAUUGACCGCGGCUGUGGCGUCUGGCGGAGCUGCCGCGCCCUGGCACCCGGGGAGGAGGGAAGAGGUCGCUCAC